UCAGACUUCCACAGACUUGUCAGUGAUUAAUCCAAAGAUGGAACUUCAGAAAAAAAGGGUUCAGACAUUUCCAGGGAGGAGGCACCUGCUUUUUGCCACAAUGCAAAAUAAUUCCACCCAUUUCUCCUCUGCCACAGCAGUCCACCUGCUCGGAUGUGAGGUCAGAGUCUCAGAGAUGAACUGAGCCUCUGGAGGAGAGCCUGGGAUCUAGGAUGAACCACUGGUGACGGCAAUGGCAGCAGC
rnacentral:lncRNA from 1 species